rnacentral:tRNA from 1 species
UAGUAAUUAGUUUAAGCCAAAACAAAUGAUUUCGACUCAUUAGAUUGUGAUUUAUCUCAUAAUUACUAA